GACGAACGCUGGCGGCGUGCUUAACACAUGCAAGUCGAGCGGUAAGGCCUUUCGGGGUACACGAGCGGCGAACGGGUGAGUAACACGUGGGUGAUCUGCCCUGCACUCUGGGAUAAGCCUGGGAAACUGGGUCUAAUACUGGAUAUGACCUCAGCAUGCAUGUGCUGGGGUGGAAAGCUUUUGUGGUGCAGGAUGGGCCCGCGGCCUAUCAGCUCGUUGGUGGGGUAUGGCCUACCAAGGCGACGACGGGUAGCCGACCUGAGAGGGUGACCGGCCACACUGGGACUGAGACACGGCCCAGACUCCUACGGGAGGCAGCAGUGGGGAAUAUUGCACAAUGGGCGGAAGCCUGAUGCAGCGACGCCGCGUGAGGGAUGAAGGCCUUCGGGUUGUAAACCUCUUUCAGCAGGGACGAAGCGUGAGUGACGGUACCUGCAGAAGAAGCACCGGCUAACUACGUGCCAGCCGCCGCUGUAAUAC
rnacentral:rRNA from 1 species